GGCUUCAUAGCUCAGUUGGUUAGAGCGUUGUGCGGGUAUUGCGAGGUCAUGGGUUCAAACCCUGUUGAAGUUC
rnacentral:tRNA from 1 species